UUUCCUUUGUUUUUUCUUCUUUUGAGUAAUAAUUACAGAACAUUGCACCAUUCUAUUCUUCUGAUAAAGGCAAGACUAAUUUUUCCUAAUUUAAGAAGCUGGCAUCUUAAUAGCUACAAACCUUUUUCCCCAACAAGUUUGUGAACUGCAUCUGGCUUGAUAUUAAGGGCCAGCCAUUAUUGGUUAUAAAAAGAUUACGCUGAGAUGUCUGUAUAUUGACGUUGACUAUAUUUGCACUAAUAAUUGGCAUCUAAAGCACUCAAUGUGUGUAGAUAUCUUAUUGAAGAAUUGCCCUGUCCCUUUUAUUAACUAUAUAAACUACUUUCACUCAAAUAUGUGCAUUUAUAAUACAGUGAUGUCAAAAUGUCCACUUGUAUUAACUUUUAAUGUAUAGUUUUAGCAGCCAUGAGUUAUGUUACUAAAACAAGCAAAUCAUCCUUCCCCACCCUCCCAAAAAAAAAAUAUUGUAAAAUAAAUGUGGUCUGUUUUUUUUGUUCUAGAUUGAAGAAAACUUGAAGCGUUUGCGAAAUCCUUUGCAACUGAGCCUUCCCAUCGAGCAGCUACGGGAAAGGGAAUAAUCUAAACUAGUUUGGUUAACUUGAUUUUUUCCUUAUGUGGGCAAAGAAGAUAAUUCUUUUUUUUUUUCUUUUUAAUUUAAACAAACAAACAAUAAACUGGAUAGUUUUUAACACUACUGGAAGAGAUUGUGAUAAACCAUAAGCAAAACCUAGAGGUUAAUUUUCAGGUUUGAGCAUUUAUUAAUAUCUUAAAAAAAAAAAAAAUACAAAAAUUUGGGGGUUGGGGGAGCGGGUUUCCUGUAUGUUUGCCACCUGGAGAGAGAAAAAUCCCCUUAUUUGAGCUUGUAAGCCAGUCUUAUUGUAUAGCAAGUGUUUAUUGUUCUAAUUUACACAACAAAAAUUCUCUUUUGUUAAUAAAAGCAAAUGCAUUUUUUUGGAGUUUGAUAUUUGUCUCUGUAAAACCCUUUUAAACUGAAAAUGUGUAAAAUGGAUGCAGAGCACUCGUUAUCUGCAUUUGAGUCACAUUGAUAUUUUUACACGAAACAGAAACACCAGAUAAAGAGUGUUUAACUUCCAAAUAUAGCCAUACAUGUUAGUCUCAAAAGUUUGCAUUACAAUUAGAAGCAAUAGCCAACAAUAAGAUCUCACAGUUGGCAAUUUCAUGUUUUUAAAGUAAGAUUAACAAUUGUCAGGACCAAGUGUGCCGCUGCUUCCCUAACUGCAUUCAUAACUCUGCUAUAUAUCGUUCGACGAGUCUAGUCGCAGAGUCUCAACAAAUGACAGCCUGCUGUAACUGUAGCCUCUCUGGUCCCAGAUGUGAUGCAUGUCACUCUUCAAUGAGUCCUGUACAGAGUCCCAGCCUCUCUGUUCCAAAUUGUUUG